UACGUAGGUGGCAAGCGUUGUCCGGAUUUACUGGGCGUAAAGCGCACGUAGGCGGAUUGUUAAGUCGGGGGUGAAAUCCUGGAGCUCAACUUCAGAAUUGCCUUCGAUACUGGCUUUCUAGAGGCUGGAAGAGGUUAGUGGAAUUCCCAGUGUAGAGGUGAAAUUCGUAGAUAUUCGCAAGAACACCAGUGGCGAAGGCGGCUCACUGGCCCGAUACUGACGCUGAGGUGCGAAAGCGUGGGGAGCAAACAGGG
rnacentral:rRNA from 1 species